rnacentral:rRNA from 1 species
ACGAACGCUGGCGGCGUGCUUCACACAUGCAAGUCGCACGGAAAGGCCCUGCUUUUGUGGGGUGCUCGAGUGGCGAACGGGUGAGUAACACGUGAGUAACCUGCCCUUGACUUUGGGAUAACUUCAGGAAACUGGGGCUAAUACCGGAUAGGAGCUCCUGCUGCAUGGUGGGGGUUGGAAAGUUUCGGCGGUUGGGGAUGGACUCGCGGCUUAUCAGCUUGUUGGUGGGGUAGUGGCUUACCAAGGCUUUGACGGGUAGCCGGCCUGAGAGGGUGACCGGCCACAUUGGGACUGAGAUACGGCCCAGACUCCUGCGGGAGGCAGCAGUGGGGAAUAUUGCACAAUGGGCGGAAGCCUGAUGCAGCAACGCCGCGUGCGGGAUGACGGCCUUCGGGUUGUAAACCGCUUUCGCCUGUGACGAAGCGUGAGUGACGGUAAUGGGUAAAGAAGCACCGGCUAACUACGUG